GCCUUCGUGGUAUAGUGGUCAGCACACUUGGCGCGUAUUCGAGAGGUCCGUGGUUCGAAUCCCAGCGAGGGCU
rnacentral:tRNA from 1 species